CUAACACAUGCAAGUCGAGGGGUAACAAGGAUGUAGCAAUACAUUUGUUGACGACCGGCGCACGGGUGAGUAACACGUAUGCAACCUGCCUGCAACACGGGGAUAGCCCGUCGAAAGACGGAUUAAUACCCGAUAAUACAUUGUUUCCGCAUGGGGAUAUUGUUAAAGAUUUAUUGGUUGCGGAUGGGCAUGCGUUCCAUUAGCUGGUUGGUGAGGUAACGGCUCACCAAGGCAACGAUGGAUAGGGGAACUGAGAGGUUUAUCCCCCACACUGGUACUGAGACACGGACCAGACUCCUACGGGAGGCAGCAGUGAGGAAUAUUGGUCAAUGGGCGAGAGCCUGAACCAGCCAAGUCGCGUGAAGGAAGACGGUUCUAUGGAUUGUAAACUUCUUUUGCAGGGGAGUAAAAAGUGGGACGUGUCCCAUCUUGCAAGUACUCUGCGAAUAAGCAUCGGCUAACUCCGUGCCAGCAGCCGCGGUAAUACGGAGGAUGCGAGCGUUAUCCGGAUUUAUUGGGUUUAAAGGGUGCGUAGGCGGAAGCUUAAGUCAGUGGUGAAAGUUUGGGGCUCAACCUUAAAAUUGCCAUUGAAACUGGGUUUCUUGAGUGUA
rnacentral:rRNA from 1 species